rnacentral:rRNA from 1 species
GACGAACGCUGGCGGCGUGCCUAACACAUGCAAGUCGAACGGGGGUAGCAAUACCCCAGUGGCGAACGGGUGCGUAACACGUGAGGAACAUUCCUUCCGGUGGGGGAUAGCCGGCCUAACGGCCGGGUAAUACCGCAUACGCUGUUCGGGGUGCAUACCCUGGAUCGGAAAGCAGCAAUGCGCCGGAAAGGUGCCUCGCGGCCUAUCAGCUAGUUGGUGAGGUAAUGGCUCACCAAGGCGACGACGGGUAGCUGGUCUGAGAGGAUGGCCAGCCACAUUGGGACUGAGACACGGCCCAGACUCCUACGGGAGGCAGCAGUGGGGAAUCUUGCGCAAUGGGCGAAAGCCUGACGCAGCGACGCCGCGUGUGGGAUGACGGCCUCGGUGUAACACUGUCGCGAGGGACGGAAGAAGUCUGACGGUACCGUCGAAAGGAAGACACCGGCUAACUCUGUGCCAGCAGCCGCGGUAAU